CCUACGGGUGGCAGCAGUGGGGAAUAUUGCACAAUGGGCGAAACCCUGAUGCAGCGACGCCGCGUGAGUGAUGAAGUAUUUCGGUAUGUAAAGCUCUAUCAGCAGGGAAGAUAAUGACGGUACCUGACUAAGAAGCCCCGGCUAAAUACGUGCCAGCAGCCGCGGUAAUACGUAUGGGGCAAGCGUUAUCCGGAUUUACUGGGGGUAAAGGGAGCGUAGACGGGAGUGCACGUCUGAUGUGAAAGUCCGGGGCUCAACCCCGGGACUGCAUUUGAAACUGUAUGGCUAGAGUGCAGGAGAGGUAAGUGGAAUUCCUAGUGUAGCGGUGAAAUGCGUAGAUAUUAGGAGGAACACCAGUGGCGAAGGCGGCUUACUGGACUGUAACUGACGUUGAGGCUCGAAAGCGUGGGGAGCAAACAGGAUUAGAUACCCGGGUAGUC
rnacentral:rRNA from 1 species